rnacentral:rRNA from 1 species
ACACGACGCUCUUCCGAUCUGGGGAAUGCCUAGGCUCUUGGAGGCGAAGAAAGACGUGGUAAGCUGCGAUAAGCCUCGGGGAGGAGCUAAACAUCCUUUGAGCCGGGGAUUUCUGAAUGGGGAAACCCAGCGGGAGUCAUGUCCCGUUAACAUUCACUGAAUUCAUAGGUGACUGUGGCUAACGCAGGGAAGUGAAACAUCUCAGUACCUGCAGGAAGAGAAAUCAAUCGAGAUUCCCCAAGUAGCGGCGAGCGAACGGGGAAGAGCCCAAACCGCGCGGAUUCGUCCGUACGGGGUUGUAGGGCCGGAAUGACCGAUUCACGCGUAACCAGAAGAAGUGAGCAGGAAAGCUCCGCCAGAGAGGGUGACAGUCCCGUAUUCGAAAGUGAGAGUGACGGUUCCGGUACCUGAGUACUGCGAGACACGUGAAAUCUCGUGGGAAUCCGGGAGGACCAUCUCCUAAGGCUAAAUACUAACUGACGACCGAUAGUGUACCAGUACCGUGAGGGAAAGGUGAAAAGAACCCCUGUCAGGGGAGUGAAAGAGAAUCUGAAACCUGGUGCUUACAAGCUGUGGGAGCCGUACUUGUACGGUGACCAUGUGCCUUUUGCAUAAUGAGUCAGCGAGUUAAUCUGUACAGCAAGGUUAAGCGUAAGUGAAGCCGCAGCGAAAGCGAGUCCGAACAGGGCCACAGUUGUGCGGAUUAGACCCGAAACCGGGUGAUCUAUCCAUGAGCAGGUUGAAGCAAGGGUAAAGCCUUGUGGAGGACCGAACCAGUUCUGGCUGAAAACAGUUUGGAUGACUUGUGGAUAGGGGUGAAAGGCCAAUCAAACCCGGUGAUAGCUGGUUCUCCCCGAAAUAUAUUGAGGUAUAGCCUUGCGGAUUGUCUUAUGGAGGUAAAGCUCUGACAGAACUAGGGGUCCUAUCCGACUACCGAAUUCUUUCAAACUCUGAAUACCAUUAAGAUUUACCGCAGGAGUCAGACGGCGGGUGCUAAGGUUCGUCGUCAAAAGGGCAACAGCCCAGACCGACAGCUAAGGCCUCCAAAUGCAUGCUCAGUGGUUAAGGUGGUGGCGUUGUGUAGACACCCAGGACGUUGGCUUAGAAGCAGCCAUCGUUUAAAGAAAGCGUAAUAGCUCACUGGUUCAAUGGCGCUGCGCCGAAAAUGUAACGGGGCUAAGCAUGCUGCCGAAGCUUCGGAUUUGUCUCUGACAACUGGUAGGGGAGCGUUCUCUGCGGGCUGAAGCGGAACCGAAAGGUUUCGUGGACUGCAGAGAAGUGAUUAUGCUGACAUGAGUAACGAUAAAAUAUGUGAAAAACAUAUUCGCCGUAAAUCCAAGGUUUCCUGGGUAAAGGUAAUCUUCCCAGGGUUAGUCGGACCCUAAGGCCAGGCUGAAAGGCGUAGCUGAUGGGAAACGGGUUAAUAAUCCUGUACUUGUGCGAUUGUGCGAAGAAGGGACGCAGGAUGGUAGACAGGCCGGUUUUUGGAAUCCGGUGCAAGUGCGUAGGCGUGCUCCGCAGGCAAAUCCGCGGAGAUGAGCCGAGACACGAGUCCGUGGGCGUAAGCCCUGAAGCUGUUGAGCCACGGCUGCCAAGAAAAGCUUCUAAGUUUAGAUCGCGCGAACCGUACCGCAAACCAACUCAGGUGGAUGGGAUGAAUAAUCCAAGGCGCUCGAGAGAACUCUGGCCAAGGAACUCGGCAAAUUGACCCCGUAACUUCGGAAUAAGGGGUGCUCCCCAUGGUGAGACAGAUUCCUGUUCAGCCUCAGGGAGCCGCAGAGAAAUGGUGGUGGCGACUGUUUACUAAAAACAUAGGUCUGUGCGAAGUCCUACAGACGACGUAUACGGACUGACGCCUGCCCGGUGCCGGAAGGUUAAAAGGAGGAGUCAGCGCAAGCGAAGCUCCGAAUUGAAGCCCCGGUAAACGGCGGCCGUAACUAUAACGGUCCUAAGGUAGCGAAAUUCCUUGUCGGGUAA